rnacentral:rRNA from 1 species
UACGUAGGGCGCAAGCGUUGUCCGGAAUUACUGGGCGUAAAGCGCACGUAGGCGGCUUUCUAAGUCGGGGGUGAAAUCCUGGAGCUCAACUCCAGAACUGCCUUCGAUACUGGAGAGCUUGAGUCCGGGAGAGGUGAGUGGAACUGCGAGUGUAGAGGUGAAAUUCGUAGAUAUUCGCAAGAACACCAGUGGCGAAGGCGGCUCACUGGCCCGGUACUGACGCUGAGGAGCGAAAGCGUGGGGAGCGAACAGG